GAUGCCGGCUGGGCUGCGUUCAGUCGUUUUGCUAUGGAGCACGGGGCAGGCGGGGGGCCCGACUCGGCGCGGACUGGCUUGCAUAGGUCCCUGAUGCGUGCCGGCCGCUCCGCAGCGACGUGAUGGCCGGGGAUGUGAGGCGUCCCCCGGUGUUACCAGCGGGAAAAGGAUGAGAGCUCUGGAAACAGCCAGGGCCGGUGCCCCCUGACAGACUGAACGCCUCAGUUGUGGCUGGGCUGACUGCUGGUUCGUCCUCGGGCUGUGAUGAGUGCAGAGCCGGCCCUCUUGAGUGCAGUGGAGUUUGCUGACAAGGAUGGGGCAGACCAUAGGAACUCAGCGUCUUUGGCGUUUUCCUGAGUGACCAUCAACGAAUGCAGAAAUACUAGAAAUUUUGAGGCCCCUGCAUGUCAGCUGGAAAGGUUAUGAGUACCAGUUUUUGUCAAAAAAAUUUCAAUAAAAUAAGUAAAACAA